GACAUGUUCAUCUAGAUCACUUGAGACAUGUUCAUCUAGAACACUUGAGACUUGUUUCUCAAGUGUUCUAGAUGAACAAGUCUCAAGUGUUCUAGAUGAACAUGUCUCAAGUGUUCUAGAUGAACAUGUAAGAUGAACAAGUCUCAAGUGUUCUAGAUGAACAAG
rnacentral:snoRNA from 1 species